GAUGAACGCUGGCGGCGUGCCUAAUACAUGCAAGUCGAGCGAACGGACGAGACGCUUGCUUUUCUGAUGUUAGCGGCGGACGGGUGAGUAACACGUGGAUCACCUACCUAUCAGUCUGGGAUAACUUCGGGAAACCGGAGCUAAUACCGGAUAAUCUUUUGAACCGCAUGGUUCAAUAGUGAAAGACGGUCUUGCUGUCACUUAUAGAUGGAUCCGCGCUGCAUUAGCUAGUUGGUAAGGUAACGGCUUACCAAGGCAACGAUGCAUAGCCGACCUGAGAGGGUGGUCGGCCACACUGGAACUGAGACACGGUCCAGACUCCUACGGGAGGCAGCAGUAGGGAAUCUUCCGCAAUGGGCGAAAGCCUGACGGAGCAACGCCGCGUGAGUGAUGAAGGUCUUCGGAUCGUAAAACUCUGUUAUUAGGGAAGAACAUAUGUGUAAGUAACUGUGCACAUCUUGACGGUACCUAAUCAGAAAGCCACGGCUAACUACGUG
rnacentral:rRNA from 1 species